rnacentral:rRNA from 1 species
GACGAACGCUGGCGGCGUGCUUAACACAUGCAAGUCGAACGGUGAAGCGCCUGCCUGUUUGGUGGGUGUGGUUGAGUGGCGAACGGGUGAGUAACACGUAAGUAACCUGCCCCCUUCUUCUGGUUAACCGCAUGAAAGCGUGGCUAAUAUGGGAGAUUCUGGUUCUUUAGCAUGAUGGGUAUGGUGAAGAUGUUGUUUCGGUGGGGGAUGGUCUCGCGUCUUAUCAGCUUGUUGGUGGGGUGAUGGCCUACCAAGGCGGUGACAGGUAGCCGGGCUGAGAGGGUGGACGGUCAGACUGGGACUGAGACACGGCCCAGACUCCGACGGGAGGCAGAAGUGAGGAAUAUUGCACAAUGGGCGCAAGCCUGAUGCAGCGCCGCCGCGUGAGGGAUGGAGGCCUUCGGGUUGUGAACGUCUUUCGCGAGUGAAGCAGGCCUGCCUCGUUUGUGGGUGGGUUGACGGUAGCUGGAUAAGAAGCGCCGGCUAACUACGUG